UACGAAGGGGGCUAACGUUGCUCGGAAUCACUGGGCGUAAAGCGCACGUAGGCGGCUUUUUAAGUCAGGGGUGAAAUCCUGGAGCUCAACUCCAGAACUGCCUUUGAUACUGAGAAGCUUGAGUCCGGGAGAGGUGAGUGGAACUGCGAGUGUAGAGGUGAAAUUCGUAGAUAUUCGCAAGAACACCAGUGGCGAAGGCGGCUCACUGGCCCGGUACUGACGCUGAGGUGCGAAAGCGUGGGGAGCAAACAGG
rnacentral:rRNA from 1 species